rnacentral:lncRNA from 1 species
AGUCUGGGCAGUACGGGGCAUGCUGCAGACACUCAUCCUGUUCCUUUCUCCUGCCAGGCAGUGAGUCCAGCUCCCCAGCAAGGCCAUUGCCCCCAGGCAAUGUGGUGAGUUCCCCAGCAACUCCACCACCCACAGCUCCACAUUCUCAGAUCCCGCACGCCCUCGCCACAGGCAUGGCACUGGCAGUGGCGGCCGUCGGCCUCGUCCUUGUGGCUGCAGGCAGCUGGUUUGCCAUCAGGAAAGGUGAGGGAGUGGGGGAAGAAGGGGGGAAAGGCUGAGGCCGUGGGGGUCCUGUUGGGGGCUGGUGCAGUGGGAAAGGUGGUGGGGG